GCGGCCUAUCAGCUUGUUGGUGAGGUAAUGGCUCACCAAGGCUACGACGGGUAUCCGGCCUGAGAGGGCGACCGGACACACUGGGACUGAGACACGGCCCAGACUCCUACGGGAGGCAGCAGUGGGGAAUAUUGGGCAAUGGACGCAAGUCUGACCCAGCGACGCCGCGUGAGGGAUGAAGGCCUUCGGGUUGUAAACCUCUUUCAGUAGGGAAGAAGCGAAAGUGACGGUACCUACAAAAGAAGCACCGGCUAACUAUGUGCCAGCAGCCGCGGUAAUACAUAGGGUGCAAGCGUUGUCCGGAUUUAUUGGGCGUAAAGAACUCGUAGGUGGUUUGUUACGUCGGAUGUGAAACUCUGGGGCUCAACCCCAGACCUGCAUCCGAUACGGGCAGACUAGAGUGUGGUAGGGGAGACUGGAAUUCCU
rnacentral:rRNA from 1 species